rnacentral:rRNA from 1 species
CCUACGGGGGGCUGCAGUGGGGAAUAUUGCACAAUGGGCGCAAGCCUGAUGCAGCCAUGCCGCGUGUGUGAAGAAGGCCUUCGGGUUGUAAAGCACUUUCAGCGGGGAGGAAGGCGGUGAGGUUAAUAACCUCAUCGAUUGACGUUACCCGCAGAAGAAGCACCGGCUAACUCCGUGCCAGCAGCCGCGGUAAUACGGAGGGUGCAAGCGUUAAUCGGAAUUACUGGGCGUAAAGCGCACGCAGGCGGUCUGUCAAGUCGGAUGUGAAAUCCCCGGGCUCAACCUGGGAACUGCAUUCGAAACUGGCAGGCUAGAGUCUUGUAGAGGGGGGUAGAAUUCCAGGUGUAGCGGUGAAAUGCGUAGAGAUCUGGAGGAAUACCGGUGGCGAAGGCGGCCCCCUGGACAAAGACUGACGCUCAGGUGCGAAAGCGUGGGGAGCAAACAGGAUUAGAUAGCCCAGUAGUC